rnacentral:lncRNA from 10 species
UAGCCUGUGGGAAAAUGACUGAGUGCCCAUAGAUGAAGUGCUUUCAAGACUGUCUGGCACCUAGAGGUAUCAUCGCAGAAGCCUUGGAUAUGAACAGAAGCAGGCAGAGGAUGAAGCUGAUGGUGUGCAUGGUCACUGUGCUCCUGCCCAUUUUUGAGCUUCUGGAAUACAAGCUGUGCCUUUGCCUGGAAUGUCCCUCCCAGUCUGACUAGGCAUCUUCUGAUGGGGUUUGACCUGGUUGCUUCUAACACUAGGAUGGACCUCUUGGCAAUCUCUGGAUAUCUUUCUGUGGUUUGUUAUAAUGGUAAUUAUUACUU